rnacentral:rRNA from 1 species
CCUACGGGAGGCAGCAGUGGGGAAUAUUGGACAAUGGGCGAAAGCCUGAUCCAGCAAUGCCGCGUGAGUGAUGAAGGCCUUAGGGUUGUAAAGCUCUUUUACCAGGGAUGAUAAUGACAGUACCUGGAGAAUAAGCUCCGGCUAACUCCGUGCCAGCAGCCGCGGUAAUACGGAGGGAGCUAGCGUUGUUCGGAAUUACUGGGCGUAAAGCGUACGUAGGCGGUUAUUCAAGUCAGAGGUGAAAGCCCGGGGCUCAACCCCGGAACUGCCUUUGAAACUAGAUAGCUAGAAUCUUGGAGAGGUUAGUGGAAUUCCGAGUGUAGAGGUGAAAUUCGUAGAUAUUCGGAAGAACACCAGUGGCGAAGGCGACUAACUGGACAAGUAUUGACGCUGAGGUACGAAAGCGUGGGGAGCAAACAGGAUUAGAUACCCUAGGUAGUCCACGCCGUAAACGAUGAUAACUAGUUGUUCGGGCACUUGGUGCCUGAGUGACGCAGCUAACGCAUUAAGUUAUCCGCCUGGGGAGUACGGUCGCAAGAUUAAAACUUAAAUGAAUUGACGG